CUCGCUGCAACCUGCUCCUGCCUCACUGGUCCUGAGUGGGAACCUCCCCACCCAGCCUCACGCUCCUGCAUCCCAGAGCAGCCGGAUGCUGUGGGAGGUGGGAUGCAACUGUGGGCAUCGUGUUUCCAGCUCCCAGGACCGGCUCCAGCAGCGAGGACCAGCGGCAGGGCUGGAGAUCUGGGUCCUGCUGAGAGGAUGAAAACAUGGGGCUCAAGUUAUCCUGCCUCAAAGGCUUGAAGAUGUGUGUGAGCAGUGGGAAUGGCAGCGACGAGGCAGGAGCAGCAUCCCCAGGAGAGAAGCACUUACAUGUGCCCUCCAUCAUCGUCACACCACCAACACCGACGGGGACCAUGCUGGCCAGAGAGGCCCGGCGGGGCGGGGGGUCACCAUCGUGCAGCCAAUGCUGACCAUGAGCAUCCUGGGGAUACCAUCCCUGCUCCACAGGGAUGCACGGAGCUCGGGUUCAGCUCCUUAGGGACACACGGGGUGAGUUUGGACACCGGUGACUGCGGUUUGGCUCUCCUAAAAGCACAGGGAAUGGGGUGCACCGUGCGGGGCCCCCAUGGUGAAUAAAGCCCCCGAGGCUCCGCACCCCCAAACCAACCCUUGUCAGCAUCACCCCGUGCAGCACAAAGG